UACGUAGGGCGCAAGCGUUAUCCGGAAUUAUUGGGCGUAAAGAGCUCGUAGGCGGUUUGUCGCGUCUGCCGUGAAAGUCCGGGGCUCAACUCCGGAUCUGCGGUGGGUACGGGCAGACUAGAGUGAUGUAGGGGGAGACUGGAAUUCCUGGUGUAGCGGUGAAAAUGCGCAGAUAUCAGGAGGAACACCGGUGGCGAAGGCGGUUCUCUGGGCAUUACCUGACGCUGAGGAGCGAAAGCGUGGGGAGCAAACAGG
rnacentral:rRNA from 1 species